UGGAGUUUGCAGAGGAUAACAACAUUGACAAGCUCAUUUAUGAUUAUGGUUUGCUGAAUAUAGUCAUAGGCGUCAGCAAUCAUUGAUGCUGCGGCAGAUAGUCUAAAUCGGAGGAGCAACCCCAACGGGAAGAAUAUUUGACGCCGUGGGGGCCCACUGCAGGAUUCCCUUGUUUUUACAAUUAUCAUAUCUUUUGUCAUUCAUAAUUUAUUUCCAUCUUUUUAACAAGUUUUGUAAUUAUUUUUAAAUUAGGAAAUUGCUAAAGCCACACACCAAAAGGUGUUGUGGUUGUAGCAUCACAAUUCCUUCUGGGACACUUUAGAGAAGGUUGGCCAAUCUAGCGACUUGGUGAGGAUUUAAGUAUUGGAAGUGAGGAUUUAGUGUGUAUGCACAAGUGGUGAGCAAGACUGGACAUAAGUGAAGUGCGAUAUGAGAGAACUGGAGUAGAUACAAGUGGAGAGUGGUAGAAGAAGAGAGCAACAAGUGAGAACACUAAAUAAGUGGGAGUUGAGAAGAGAGUAGGAGUGUACCACAU
rnacentral:lncRNA from 1 species